GACGUGGGGAGGGUGGGGCCGGGAGGGGGGCCGCGAACUCCGGGCGGGGCCUGCCUCUUCUCGCGAGACCGCGGGCCGCCUCGCUCGGGUCCCGGCUUUCGAAAUCGCCGGGUAGGGGUAGGGGUGGGGGAAACUCCCGGUGCGGUCGCGCUCCGCUAGCCUGCGUGGCACCCCCGGGUGGACGGACAUGAGCGUGAGAUAGGGCCGGUGGGGAGGCCGAGCCGGGGUGGCCUGGGUCCCUGCCCGCUCGCUGGAGACCGGAGGGGCGACAAGCCCACCCGGGGUGGACCAGAGAAGACUUGGGUGAGCGGUGGAGACGCCGGGGCGGCCGAGGUCUGUGAGAGCCGGGCCUGCGGACACCUUUGGCCUGGUCCUCCAGGUUUGACACGUGCGGACUUCCACCGCUGGGAGACUGGAGGAGAGGGCUCUGCUACCCUGACUGACCCAGAGCCGGCCGCCUUAAUGGGGACUGCGUCAAAAUCUCCUGACAGGAUGGAAAAUACGUGCAGAAUCUGUUAACAGUAGACAGAAAACUGAACUGUAGUCUGUGUGGAAGUUCUGACCAAAGGAACUUCUUUGAGUUUAAUAUUAACUUGAGGGACUCCCUUGGUCAAAGUACUGACGGUGGCCAACGGCCCUUCGGCCUGACCUUCUUCCGAGAGCCAUGGUUCCACUGCACUCUGACCACUGCCACGUUCUCAGGUCCUAGUCUAAGGAGCAGGUACUAGGAAAGAAUCAAGCUAUGAAGAAAAUGGCAGUUGACAAGCUAGAAUACCUCCUGCUUUCACUAUAAUGGCUGUAUUUGAUAUGGUAGUAAAAUUGGUGGCAAAAUAUUAUUUAAAUUAGUAUA